rnacentral:tRNA from 1 species
GCGGUUAUGGCGGAAUAGGCAGACGCGUACGUUUGAGGGGCGUAUGGGAGACCAUUCGGGUUCAAGUCCCGAUAACCGCACCA